rnacentral:rRNA from 1 species
GGACUACUGGGGUAUCUAAUCCUGUUUGCUCCCCACGCUUUCGCGCCUCAGCGUCAGUAACGGGCCAGUGAGUCGCCUUCGCCACUGGUGUUCUUCCGAAUAUCUACGAAUUUCACCUCUACACUCGGAGUUCCACUCACCUCUCCCGUACUCAAGAUGUCCAGUAUCAAAGGCAAUUCCAAGGUUGAGCCCUGGGCUUUCACCUCUGACUUAAACAUCCGCCUACGCGCCCUUUACGCCCAGUAAUUCCGAGCAACGCUAGCCCCCUUCGUAUUACCGCGGCUGCUGGCAC